GCUGGCGGGUGCUAUACUGCAGUCGAACGCUUCUUUUUCCACCGGAGCUUGCUCCACCGGAAAAAGAGGAGUGGCGAACGGGUGAGUAACACGUGGGUAACCUGCCCAUCAGAAGGGGAUAACACUUGGAAACAGGUGCUAAUACCGUAUAACAAUCGAAACCGCAUGGUUUUGAUUUGAAAGGCGCUUUCGGGUGUCGCUGAUGGAUGGACCCGCGGUGCAUUAGCUAGUUGGUGAGGUAACGGCUCACCAAGGCCACGAUGCAUAGCCGACCUGAGAGGGUGAUCGGCCACAUUGGGACUGAGACACGGCCCAAACUCCUACGGGAGGCAGCAGUAGGGAAUCUUCGGCAAUGGACGAAAGUCUGACCGAGCAACGCCGCGUGAGUGAAGAAGGUUUUCGGAUCGUAAAACUCUGUUGUUAGAGAAGAACAAGGAUGAGAGUAACUGUUCAUCCCUUGACGGUAUCUAACCAGAAAGCCACGGCUAACUACGUGCCAGCAGCCGCGGUAAUACGUAGGUGGCAAGCGUUGUCCGGAUUUAUUGGGCGUAAAGCGAGCGCAGGCGGUUUCUUAAGUCUGAUGUGAAAGCCCCCGGCUCA
rnacentral:rRNA from 1 species